rnacentral:lncRNA from 1 species
GCUGUAUGAGUGGAGAGUGCCCCCUCCAGCUGACCUGUGUGCAGUUUUACACAGCAGAGGUGACUGGGGCCUGGGAACCACUGCUGAGGUGAGAGGAAAACAUCAUACCCAGCGAUGAGUGCUGCAGCCCGUCGGAGGACACGCGCCUGAGAUUGAUACCCAAGGCUCAGCUCGUUCAGCAUGACGGGACUGCGGUGUCCACAGCCAUGGAAAGCUUGAGAGGUAAAGUGUCCUUGGAUGAACGAGGAAUGAGCCACACACACACACACACACACACACACACAGCGAGAUUAUGGAGGCUUCAUGCCUUGAUGUUCUAUAAAACGGUAAAUUAAUGUGCACAUGGUUUCAAAAGUAGACUAGGACUUCAGUCUGAGAGGGAACGGAAGUUGAGGUGACCUUACUGUGAAGAAGGGGCUGCUUCCACCCCCGGCAGGCAGCCUCGGAUGAGAUGAGCUGGGCUCUGGCAUGGGUGUCGUCUCCAGCAUUUAGCCGAGCGUGUAGUUACACAUCCUUGCUGAUUUCAUCUCAUUUUGUUUUCUUGGAUGGAACUUCAGGCUGCUGCAUGAAAAUUACAUGUUAGUGGUGGGAAGAAGAAACAAACCCAAAAAAGCAGCUUUCUUGUCUCGCUCUCAGUAGGAGAGAGGUCCUAGGGAGUCUGAAACGGCUCCUUCCUGCUUUGCUGGCAGUUGUCAACUUAUUGAUUACUUGUUCGGAGGAGAAAAUAGUUGACAAAAGACACUCUCUCCCAAAUUCUGUGCUGUUCAAUAAAACAAAUCCCACUGUGGGGGUGGGCCGCUGUGUGCAGUGCCGGUCUCGUCAGCCUCCCGCGGGCCCUUGAAAACGGGCUUCCACCGCCAGGAGCACCGAGGAGGAAGGACCCCAAUGCAGCAGGAUUCCACAGCCUGACUCACGGUCCCGGUGUUUUCACGGACCCCCGGAGAAAACCUCUCCAACAGGGACCCACAGUGGGGAGGCUGUUGGGUAUGCGGUUCCAUAUUGUCCCCGGGGGUUCUCAGGGACCUUUGGCAACUCUUCGUUUUCUCCUCAGAGUUUCUUGGCCAUUUCCAAGUCCUGAGGACAAGUGCGUCCACAUUCAAAGGACGGACGUUCGCC